GCUGGCGGCGUGCCUAACACAUGCAAGUCGAACGAGAAAGUGAAGCUUGCUUCACAAGUACAGUGGCAAACGGGUGAGUAACACGUGAACAACCUACCCUCGAGUGGGGAAUAACACCGCGAAAGCGGUGCUAAUACCGCAUAAUAUCUCUGAAUCGCAUGGUUUUGAGAUCAAAAGCUUCGGUUGCUUGAGGAGGGGUUCGCGCCUGAUUAGCUUGUUGGUGAGGUAACGGCUCACCAAGGCUGCGAUCAGCAGCCUGGCCUGAGAGGGUGAACUGGCCACACUGGAACUGAGACACGUUCCAGACUCCUACG
rnacentral:rRNA from 1 species